GUAAGGUCCAUCUGCGUGCUUUGUGCUCUCUUAGUCCGGGGCUGCUGCCACUGGGAAGCAAAAACAGUUUGUCCAUAAGAUGGAAAGUUUGUGGUGACAAAAUAGGAGCAGCCAGUCAUGGAGUCUGCCAGAACCAGCAGAAGUAGCAGGGAACACAUGGAUGUGUGACCAACCCUCAGCUCUCUGCCCUCUGCAGAUCUCCUGUCUUCUGAAACCAUUAUUAAAAGUAGGUUUCAUGAGAGUCUUCGCUCUUAGGUAGAUUUGGUAAGAAAGCAUUAUGUGGGCAGUGGGACUGGUCAUUUCUGAAAACCAUAGACAUCUUGUCAGUUGGGCUGAAGGGGUGGGUUGGUAGUUAAGAGCUGGUGGUGAGGACCCAGGUUCGACUCUCAGCAACCACACUGGGUGGCUAACACUGCCUGUUCCUCCAGCUCCAGGGAUCCUGGUUUUAAAUCACUCAACAUCGCACUUACAGAAACAUUACUAUGAGGGAUAAAUUCUGUUCUGUGGGAAGAAGGAUAAAAGGAUAAGAAGACAUGAUAUCAGAAGCCACCCACUGUGCUGAGAGUAUAUGGGAAGAAAUUCUGGCUCAUGUUAAGUCCUAAGCCAGAGGGAUUUCUCUAGUCUAGCACCCAGUUUACAAGCCAUUCCAUUUUCCUAUGUUACUGUGAUUUGUGUCCUUAGUGUGUACAGGCCAAGCAUGGUGGCACGUACCUAUAGUCCUAGCACUUGAGAGGCAGAGGCAGGUGGGUCUGUGAGUUUAUUAAGGCCAGCGUGGUCUGUGUAGUGAGUUCCAGGACAGUCAGGGCUAUGUAGAGAGAUCCUGUCUUAAAAACACC
rnacentral:lncRNA from 1 species